GUGUUCGCUUCGGCAGCACAUAUACUGAGAAUCGAAACUACACAGAGAAGAUGAGUGUGGCCCCCGUGCCACAGGGAUGACAGACAAAUUCGUGAAGAAUUUUGUAUUUUA
ensembl:snRNA U6 U6 spliceosomal RNA